rnacentral:rRNA from 1 species
CGCGUCUAGCAUGCAGUCGGGCGGCAAGGGGGAGCAAUCCUCCCUAGAGCGGCGGACUGGUGAGUAACGCGUGGGUGACCUGCCCUUAGGUUGGGGAUAGCCCCUAGAAAUAGGGGGUAAUACCGAAUACGGUUAUCUGGUUAUGACUGGAUAAAGAAAGGAGCUUCGGCUUCGCCUGGGGAUGGGCCCGCGUCCCAUUAGCUAGUUGGCGGGGUAAGAGCCCACCAAGGCUCUGAUGGGUAGCCGGCCUGAGAGGGUGAACGGCCACACUGGGACUGAGAUACGGCCCAGACUCCUACGGGAGGCAGCAGCUAAGAAUAUUCCGCAAUGGUCGGGAGACUGACGGAGCGACGCCGCGUGGAUGACGAAGGCCGGAAGGUUGUAAAAUCCUUUUGUUGCUGAAGAAUAAGCUUUGCAGGGAAUGGCAGGGCGAUGACGUUAGGCAACGAAUAAGCCCCGGCUAAUUACGUGCCAGCAGCCGCGGUAACACGUAAGGGGCGAGCGUUGUUCGGAAUUAUUGGGCGUAAAGGGCGCGUAGGCGGCGGAGUAAGCCCGGCGUGAAAUACUUCGGCUUAACCGGGGAACUGCGUUGGGAACUGCUGUGCUUGAGUCUCGGAGGGGGAGUUGGAAUUCCUAGUGUAGGGGUGAAAUCUGUAGAUAUUAGGAAGAACACCGGUGGCGAAGGCGGACUUCCAGCCGGAGACUGACGCUGAGGCGCGAAAGUGCGGGGAGCAAACAGGAUUAGAUACCCUGGUAGUCCGCACCAUAAACGAUGUACACUAGGUGUUGGGCCGUGCGGCUCGGUGCCGAAGCAAACGUGAUAAGUGUACCGCCUGGGGAGUAUGCCCGCAAGGGUGAAACUCAAGGAAUUGACGGGGGCCCGCACAGCGGUGGAGCAUGUGGUUUAUUCGAUGAUACACGAGACCUUACCUGGGUUUGACAUGAGA